GGGCUUGGGAACGAAUAUAUGCAUACAUGUACAGUGUCCAAUAGUGUGUUUCUUCGACUUUUGGUUCCUCGUCCCUUUAUUAGUUUCCUGUGCUGUGUGCCUGUUGGGUCCACCCUCUUUCUCUCUCACUCACUCGAGGAAAGGGAUCACACAUGACAUCCUUCUAAAUCCCCUUAGGCUCUAGCAAGCAGCUAGAGAGAGAUCGAGAGAGAGGGAGAGCUAGAUAGCAACUCGAUCUUGGCUCCUCUUGCUCCCUUGAUAAAAAGGACGUGCUCCUCUCCACUGUCCAUGAUCACUCUGGGCCCUUGAAAAUUGCCCCUCCAACGGCAGAUCCCUAUACACCUCUCCACCCCUAGCUAGCUUGCUCUCCCUCUCCCUUAUAUCCAUCCUGAUCUCUUCCAUGGCUGCUCACAGUACCUCCGUGCUACCUUGCUAGAUCUCUUUCUCCCUCUUUCCUCCUCCCUCACAUGUCUACCAUCUACAUGAGCCAGCUAUCCACUCUUCCCCUAAUGGAGGGAGAUCAGGAUCAAGGGCACUUUCAGGCCUUCCAUCUACCAAAGGACCCUCCCAUCUUGUUCCCUUUCAUGAUCGACAACCCUGUGGAACAUCAAGGGCAAGGCUAUGGAGACCAGCACUUGACGCAGCAAUUUUUUGGUGAAUCUAGUCAGCAGUUCAACGAUCACAUGAUGAUGGCUGGAGGAUCGGACGUUUUUGGCACUCCUUCGCCGUUCCAACCUACCAUCCAAAGCAUCGGCAGUGACAUGAUCCAGCGAUCCUCGUACAAUAAUCCCUAUGAUAUCAAGAGCAAGCAGGCCGUCAGUGGAUUGACCAGCGAGUGGGCAUCCACCACGCCGCCGGUGAAGAUGAGGAUCGUGAGGAAGGCAGCGACGAGUGAUCCUGAGGGCGGGGCGGCGAGAAAGCCAAGGAGAAGGGCACAAGCAAACCAAGCUGAAGAGAGCCAGCAGCAGCAGCAUGCUAUGGGUGUUAUCAGAGUGUGCUCAGACUGUAAUACCACCAAGACCCCCUUGUGGAGGAGUGGUCCCUGUGGCCCCAAGUCUCUUUGCAACGCAUGCGGCAUAAGGCAAAGGAAGGCGCGGCGGGCGAUGGCUGCGGCGGCGGUCACUGCUGCAAACGGUCGGGUGACAACGGCUGCUUCUAAUGGUGGGGCGGUGGCUAUGGUACUGGGCACACAGGCGAGCAACGCAUACCAAGCGGCGAAGCCAGCGAAGAAGGAGAAGAGGGCUGCGGACGUCGACAGGUCAUUGCCGUUCAAAAAGCGGUGCAAGAUGGUCGAUCAUGCUGCCAUAACCAUCACCAGCGAGUCCGUGGCCAGCAUCGCCGCUCCAAAGGAGGAUCAACAUCAUGCCGGCGAGGAGGGCGUCGCGGUGGCGGAGAGACCGAGCAAAGCUGGGCCUCCAGCGGCGCACUUUCACGGCUUCCCACGUGACGAGAUCACCGACGCCGCCAUGCUGCUCAUGACACUAUCCUGCGGUCUCGUCCGCGGCUAGUAGCCAUUGCUGAGUGCAACUUAAUUGCAACUCAUGAGUAUUAAUUAGCCUUGUUAUAUUUCCGUAUGUCAAGUUGGUUUGUGUUUUCUUUUUGUGUGUGGUUUUGAGGAGAUCGUUCGGAACGAAGAAAAAGGGAGAGAGUAGUGAUCACAUGUCUAGGGUAAUAAGCGAAGAAGCUCGAUAGCUAGUAAGCAGUAACAACCCAGAUUUGCCAUAUAUGGAUUUGUACUCGUAUUGGAACUGGUAUAUGGAGAGGAUCGAUCGUGCUGGAGAAAUUACUGCGCAUCGAUUGGUUAUUCUUCACGAAUACUGACUUGUUGUUACUACUGUUGCAUAUGUCAGCUUGUGUGUGCUGAUCUACCUUUUGUCAGGAGUAUUUUUUUAUGGAAUGGCCUGGUAUAACUCUCAAUCAAAAAGGGGAAGGAUUUCUCGCGCUCACAGCACGCCACCUCAACAACUGCCCAUGUGGGACCAGGUCAUCACGUCUGCCCGAUUGUUAGCCGAUGUGGCAAAGGGGCCGACCCGACCAAUCCGAUGCGAGGUGCUAGUUGAGCUGCACCUCUUCGCCUCCAACGACUAGCCCGACCUUGUCUUGGCUUAACUAGACCCUUUUGCAUCCCCACCGACCCAAACCACUUCGCUUGAAUUGUUCAUGGGUGCAGGAUGAUGCAAGAAGCGACGCACCUCAUUGAGGAAUAUCCCCAGCGAUCGAUAGCCAGAGCCAGAGGCAACAAUUGGUAUGACAAUCUCUUCCCCUAAUUGUCACCUUUUUUUGAAGAACACCUAAUUGUCACCUUUAAUUGCCAUGUUUUCCUCGAUUUUUAGGCAGUGGCGAAGCUGCAUCUAAGGUUGUGUGGUCAAUUGACCAUACAGCUUUUUAGCAAAUUCAUCAAGUGCAAUUGUAAACUCAUGGGGAAAACGAUAAAAAUAGGGUAUUUUUUUCACGUGAUAUUGUUUUUGACAUCACAAGAUUAGAGUUCUGGCACCGUCGCUGUUUUUAGGUAUUUUUGACUCCUUAAUUAUACAUUCCAUGUUUCGACUA